rnacentral:rRNA from 1 species
GACGAACGCUGGCGGCGUGCUUAACACAUGCAAGUCGAACGGAGUGGCAAACGGGUGAGUAACACGUGGGUGACCUGCCCUGCACUUCGGGAUUAGCCUGGGGAACUGGGUCUAAUACCGGUUAGUGUGGGAUGGGUGCGCGGCGUAUCAGCUUGUUGGUGGGGUAAGGGCCUACCAAGGCGGCGACGGGUAGCCGGCCUGGGAGGGUGGACGGGCACAAGGGGACUAAGACAGGGCCCAGAGGGGAACGGGAGGCAGGAGAGGGAAAUAUGGCAGAAUGGGGGGAAGCAUGAUGAAGCGAUGCCGGGUGGGGGAUGACGGGCUUCGGGUUGGAAACUCCUUUCACCAUCGACGCGGUAGAUGAAGAAGAAGCACCGGCUAACUACGUGCCAGCAGCCGCGGUAAUAC